UACGUAGGGUGCGAGCGUUAAUCGGAAUUACUGGGCGUAAAGUGUGCGCAGGCGGCCGCGCAAGUCGAGUGUGAAAGCCCCGAGCUUAACUUGGGAACUGCGCUCGAAACUACGUGGCUGGAGUGUGGCAGAGGAAGGUGGAAUUCCAGGUGUAGCGGUGAAAUGCGUAGAGAUCUGGAGGAACACCGAUGGCGAAGGCAAUCCCUGGGCCUGCACUGACGCUCAUGCACGAAAGCGUGGGGAGCAAACAGG
rnacentral:rRNA from 1 species